rnacentral:lncRNA from 1 species
UGUAGGGUAUGUUACUCAUAGGGCAGGCCAAGUAACCACAAAUGAUCAUUGUCCUUAAAAUCUAUUAGGGUAAUUCAUUUCAGCUGGCAAGUUCUGACAGGCUGGAGAAAAGGGAUAUUCAGCUGUGAUGUUACCAUAUAUUCUGUUUCUCUUAUAUGUGUGCUGGUGUUACUUCAUCUUGUGAAAUUCAAAUAGUCCUUGAGGACAGGCUUCAUCUUUCUCCAUAAAUGUGCAAGUCCCGGCUGGUACACCAGAUACAUCCUAGUAUACUGACAGUUCUACUCCCUGCCUGAACUCGUGCAGACCUUGCUGGCUGUGGAUUGGAGAAAUGCAGAACCAUGGUUUAAUACCUCAAUCAUACGUUGCUUGGAUAGUGUGCAGUGAAUGGAGUGGUGUUAAAGCCAGUAAAGAUACAUUUCACGCAGAACAAAUCAUCUGUCUUGGCUCGUUAUGCAAUGCAUUGUCCUAUAGAAUUUCCUCUAAAUACACAAUGGGUUCCUAGAUAAAGCAUAAGUUUUUCUCCUCUGUAUUGUUCACUCUUUUUUCUUGAAAAAGUUAAUUAAGCAGAGCAGGCCAACAAAAUUUCUUCUAAGGAGAUAAAAUUAAAAAAAAAAAAAGAGCAAAGGGCAAAGUUCUUCAACUUGCAUACAUCUAAAAUUAAUUAGAAAAUCCUGUAUCUAAAUCUACAAGUACAUUUGUUUCUAUCCUAGUGCUUUUGAGGUCUGAAAUGUGGGGAUACAUUUUAUAUGCAAGUACAAAAUAUGUGGCUCAAAAUUUUCUUUUUUUAACUGUAAUGGGAGUUUUUUGUAAUCUUGCACAUUAUUUCAAAUGCGUGAAUUCCAUUCAAUACAAAAAAAAAUAAUCCUCUCUAUUGAAACUGUUCUAAUCUAAAGCAUAAAACAACCCUUAUACAUAUGAAAUACUUGUUAUUUAACUGCUAAAAUAUAGCUGACAGAAACAGAAUUCAUUGGUGGAAGCAAAACUAGAGGGCAUUUCUAUUUUAGCUGAUCAGCAUCUAUCUCCUUGUGACGUAGACAAAACUAAAUUAAAAUUAGCAACAUCUGAGAAGAAAUGGAUAAACUUUGAACCUACUUCUGGAUAUCCUCAACAUGCAGACUAUCAGCUGAGCCAAAUGAAUAUUCUCUACAGAGCAGAUUUAUAGGGCUUGGUACUUUCAGUUUUAGAAGUUGAUAAGUAAAUUUUGAAAGUGGCAAUCCAAAUCAAUUCUAUGAUAAAAUCUGCCAGCUUAUUGUGAGAACGUGUCAUGGUUAUAAUAAUUGCAAUGACUUAGCCUCAGUUUUUAGGAAACUCUGGGAAAUAUACAAUUAAGAAAGAAGAUCUACAAAACGUUUUAGCAGUAGGAACAAUGAAAUGAAAGAAAGUGUCUCUAUGUCAUUCAACUCUAGUGGCACAGGAAGUUAGGCCCAAGCUACUAAGAGCUCACAAAAAAAGGUAAAAUCACCUCUUUCCAAG